UCGGACGUGGUGUACGGUACACCGCCUCUUCUCCUGGGGCGCUUUUGAGGUUUGACGAGGCAGCCCGGGGUUCGACUCCCCGCGUCCGAA